rnacentral:rRNA from 1 species
UACGGGGGGGGCAAGCGUUGUUCGGAAUUACUGGGCGUAAAGGGCUCGUAGGCGGCCAACUAAGUCGGAUGUGAAAUCCCCAGGCUUAACCUGGGAACUGCAUCCGAUACUGUAUGGCUUGAAUCCGGGAGAGGGAUGCAGAAUUCCAGGUGUAGCGGUGAAAUGCGUAGAUAUCUGGAGGAAUACCGGUGGCGAAGGCGGCAUCCUGGACCGGCAUUGACGCUGAGUGAGCGAAAGCCAGGGGAGCAAACGGG